rnacentral:lncRNA from 1 species
AACUGGACGACCUCAAUUUCGAACUCAGACUCGAGCCUUUUUGGGGUAGAAAAUGGACUUUAAUCGAGUGUUCUGACACCCCAAUUUCUUCAAUUUUUGGACAGAACCAAUGUUUUGGUCUUCUAGGGUUCUUGGGCUCGAAUUGGGAUUCGAGUGGUUCCCAGGUGAUUCGAAGAGAAAAAGUGGCGGUUUAGGGGUGAGGGCGGCCUGGGGGUUGUGGUGUGAAUUUGGGCUCGGUUGGGGUAGGGUUCAGUUUGGCUCGAAUCUUCAAUUGAAGAUUUGAGAAGUUGUAGGGUGAUUCAAGGUAAAAGGUUAAUGGAUUUGUGGAGAGGGGGUUGAGAUGUAUCAGAGGUGUUAUUUUGGUGCGGAUUGGGGUGGCUGCUGCCGAGUUGCAAGCUUGGUGCUUUCAUGGCGGCUAGGAAUUCAGGGGGGUGUCUGGUUCGUCUCUGAGAGAGACGAUGGAGAGGGG